AGAGUUUGAUCCUGGCUCAGGAUGAACGCUGGCGGCGUGCUUAACACAUGCAAGUCGAACGGAAAGGCUCCUGCUUGCAGGGGUACUCGAGUGGCGAACGGGUGAGUAACACGUGGGUGAUCUGCCCUGCACUUCGGGAUAAGCCUGGGAAACUGGGUCUAAUACCGGAUAGGACGAUGGUUUGGAUGCCAUUGUGGAAAGUUUUUCGGUGUGGGAUGAGCUCGCGGCCUAUCAGCUUGUUGGUGGGGUAAUGGCCUACCAAGGCGUCGACGGGUAGCCGGCCUGAGAGGGUGUACGGCCACAUUGGGACUGAGAUACGGCCCAGACUCCUACGGGAGGCAGCAGUGGGGAAUAUUGCACAAUGGGCGCAAGCCUGAUGCAGCGACGCCGCGUGGGGGAUGACGGCCUUCGGGCUGUAAACUCCUUUCGUCAGGGACGAAGCGAAAGUGACGGUACCUGGAUAAGAAGCACCGGCUAACUACGUG
rnacentral:rRNA from 1 species